UACGGAGGAUCCGAGCGUUAUCCGGAUUUAUUGGGUUUAAAGGGUGCGUAGGUGGUUUGAUAAGUCAGCGGUGAAAGUUUGCAGCUUAACUGUAAAAAUGCCGUUGAAACUGUCGGACUUGAGUGUAAAUGAGGUAGGCGGAAUGCGUGGUGUAGCGGUGAAAUGCAUAGAUAUCACGCAGAACUCCGAUUGCGAAGGCAGCUUACUAAGCUACAACUGACACUGAAGCACGAAAGCGUGGGGAUCAAACAGGAUUAGAUACCCUGGUAGUCCACGCAGUAAACGAUGAUUACUAGCUGUUUGCGAUACACAGUAAGCGGCACAGCGAAAGCGUUAAGUAAUCCACCUGGGGAGUACGCCGGCAACGGUGAAACUCAAAGGAAUUGACGGGGGCCCGCACAAGCGGAGGAACAUGUGGUUUAAUUCGAUGAUACGCGAGGAACCUUACCCGGGUUUGAACGUAGGGAGACAGGGGUGGAAACAUCCUUUUCAGCAAUGACUGCCUACGAGGUGCUGCAUGGUU
rnacentral:rRNA from 1 species